CAAGAGGAGGAGGACAAGUUGGUCCUCGUCGUAGUAGACGUAAUAAAGGCUUGGAGGUAGAAGAAGUAACACCUAAAGUUGCUACUGCAAUAACACUAAAGGUGAAUAAGAACAUAAUAGAAAAGAAAAUGGCUUCCCUUACGAGAAUAAGUAGGAGAAACAAGAAAGUGGGUGCUCAAGAUGAUGAGGUAGAAGAUAUUACACCGCAAGCCGAUGCGGUUGCAUAUGUAACACCGCAAGAUGAUGCGGAUAAAGACGUAUCACCAAAAGUUGUGGAAGAACGCAAUGAGGCUGAGAAAGCAAUGUCUGAAUAUGAGGUUGAGAAAGCAAUGUCUGAAGAUAAUAAAGAAGAUUCUGAGAUAGAAGGAGUUGCUUGUUUGACUGGACAGGAACAACAGGACAAUCUAGAAUAAGCUACCAAUAUGAAAGAAGAUGGAGUUGGCAAUGAUCAAGAGAAUGUGGUUUCUAGUACUGAAGGAAUUCAAUUACCAGAGGAUGGAGUGGAAGAAAAGAAUAAAAGAGGACCAAUGAAGAUGCGUGAAGUGGCUGAAAAACCUAAUGAAAAGGUUGCAGUUACUUUCACUGAAUUUGGCGAUCAUGUUGGACCUGUUUCAGUAACGUUAUCAUCUUUUCUUGGUGCUCUUGUGAGGGAACACAUUCCGGUUACACUUUCUGAUUGGAGAAAAUUUGAUGCAGUGAGUAAAAAACAAUGUGGGAAGAAAUUCAGGGGAGGUUUAACUUGCAAGAAUAGUGGCAGAAAGCUGUUAUUUUUAAGCAAUUGGGUAAUUUGUGGAGGAGUGGGAAGUCAAGGCUAGUGUCAAAAGUACGUGCUGCGAAGACUGCUACUGAGAGAGUAUAUUUAAAACCCAGCAACAUCCCAUCCAUUCAAGUGUGGAACUCUUGGGUUAGGAGCAAGAGUACCACAACUUUCAUGGAAAUAAGUAACAAGUACAAAGAGAUGAGAAAAAAUCAGAUUCCUCACACCACAAGCCGC